rnacentral:rRNA from 1 species
AACGAACGCUGGCGGCAGGCCUAACACAUGCGAGUCGAGCGCGCCCUUCGGGGUGAGCGGCGGACGGGUGAGUAAUGCGUGGGAACGUGCCCUUUUCUACGGAAUAGCCUCGGGAAACUGAGAGUAAUACCGUAUACGCCCUUUGGGGGAAAGAUUUAUCGGAAAAGGAUCGGCCCGCGUUGGAUUAGGUAGUUGGUGGGGUAAUGGCCUACCAAGCCGACGAUCCAUAGCUGGUUUGAGAGGAUGAUCAGCCACACUGGGACUGAGACACGGCCCAGACUCCUACGGGAGGCAGCAGUGGGGAAUCUUAGACAAUGGGGGCAACCCUGAUCUAGCCAUGCCGCGUGAGUGAUGAAGGCCUUAGGGUUGUAAAGCUCUUUCAGCUGGGAAGAUAAUGACGGUACCAGCAGAAGAAGCCCCGGCUAACUCCGUG